AAUCCAUGGUGAGGACACCUUCUUGUCAAAUCCUUAUACCUCUCCCAAGCCUCAUAUAAUGAUUCAGAAUCAAAUUGCAUGAAAGACCUGAUAUCAUUUCGCAUUUU
rnacentral:snoRNA from 1 species